GAGAUUGCCGGCAGCAGGUCGGCCUGCAUCUCUCCUCCAUGGGCUGCAGAUGGCUCGCGGGCCGGGACUUUGAAACCCCGACUUAGAUAAAGAAGCAGCUUCAUGGACAAGUGUCCCCCAUCCUCUCUGGUAUCUCCCAAAAUCAACUGAAAAAUGAAGGAGCUGUUCUAACAUCUACCACCUGGCAACAGUUGCCAAGAGACUGUCCGCCUGCUGAUCACCACCAUAGCACCUGCCACACCUCAUCACACCACCACCAACAUACAUCUUGUACUGGGGCUAUGAAGACAGCAACAUUCGAAGACAGCUAUGCCAACUCUAUGCCCACAGGGGGGACUCCUCUCCUUUUUUUGGCUGGGGGUGGAGGGAUUAGAAGCAGAUUCCACCCCUCUGUACGAAAAGAGAAUCUGGCCACUAGAUCAGGAAUGGCAAGUUUGGGGUUUUAUUUUUAAACUAAGAGUAAAUACUUUCAAAAUUUUG